rnacentral:piRNA from 1 species
GACAGCAUCAGGUCGGAGUCCGUC